AGGGGUGUGGCUUAAUGGUACAAUGCUUGCAUAGCAUGUGCAGAGCCCUGGGUUCAAUCCCCAGCACCUCUA
rnacentral:tRNA from 1 species